UACGUAGGGUGCGAGCGUUAAUCGGAAUUACUGGGCGUAAAGCGUGCGCAGGCGGUUGUGCAAGACAGGGGUGAAAUCCCCGGGCUUAACCUGGGAACUGCGCUUGUGACUGCACAACUAGAGUACGGCAGAGGGGGGUGGAAUUCCUGGUGUAGCAGUGAAAUGCGUAGAUAUCAAGAGGAACACCUGCGGCGAAGGCGGGUUGCUGGGCCGACACUGACGCUGAGGCGCGAAAGCUAGGGGAGCGAACGGG
rnacentral:rRNA from 1 species